CAAGAAUCCUCAGCCGUUUGAUCAAAAUGUCCUACAGAAUUGCUUGCACAACACAUUGCCUGCUUUGGUGAAUCUGGAUAAAUGCAAGUCGAUAAUGGUACCUAUGCUUAGCAGGGGUCAUUGGACACUCUAUGUGAUCAAUCUACACCACCGGGUUAUACACAUUUUAGAUUCGAAUCCCUAUGGUAUACAACUUGGUGGCACCGAAUGGAAGGACUAUCAUUAUGAUCCAAUUUAUUUAGGUGGCAGGAAAUUCCCAUGGGCUAGGGUGAUAAUGAGUAGGCUGAGCAAAGCGUUACAACACGUUUGCCCCAACGCAGAAUUUCCUAAGUUUGGUAAUUUUCCAUUGGAUAUGCCAUCUAACUGCCCAACAAUGAGGACAGGGUCAAAUGACUGUGGAUUUUUUGUGAUGAGUUACAUGAAAUCUUAUGAUCACAAUGCAGGUGUCAUAUCUUCUUUCAAUCAACCAGACAAUUCCCGAGACCUACGUGCUCAUGCCCUUCAUCAACUCACAUUCCAUCGCAUCAACAAGGCGUUGCCACUUCCAUUAGAUAUCCAGAGAUUUAUGUUUGCGUGC